AGAAGUAAAAAGUCGUAACAAGGUCUCCGUUGGUGAACCAGCGGAGGGAUCAUUACCGAGUUUACAACUCCCAAACCCAAUGUGAACGUUACCAAACUGUUGCCUCGGCGGGAUCUCUGCCCCGGGUGCGUCGCAGCCCCGGACCAAGGCGCCCGCCGGAGGACCAACCAAAACUCUUAUUGUAUACCCCCUCGCGGGUUUUUUUUAUAAUCUGAGCCUUCUCGGCGCCUCUCGUAGGCGUUUCGAAAAUGAAUCAAAACUUUCAACAACGGAUCUCUUGGUUCUGGCAUCGAUGAAGAACGCAGCGAAAUGCGAUAAGUAAUGUGAAUUGCAGAAUUCAGUGAAUCAUCGAAUCUUUGAACGCACAUUGCGCCCGCCAGUAUUCUGGCGGGCAUGCCUGUCCGAGCGUCAUUUCAACCCUCGAACCCCUCCGGGGGGUCGGCGUUGGGGAUCGGCCCUGCCUCUUGGCGGCGGCCGUCUCCGAAAUACAGUGGCGGUCUCGCCGCAGCCUCUCCUGCGCAGUAGUUUGCACACUCGCAUCGGGAGCGCGGCGCGUCCACAGCCGUUAAACACCCAACUUUCUGAAAUGUUGACCUCGGAUCAGGUAGGAAUACCCGCUGAACUUAAGCAUAUCAAUAAGCGGAGGAA
rnacentral:rRNA from 1 species